rnacentral:rRNA from 1 species
GAUGAACGCUGGCGGCGUGCCUAAUACAUGCAAGUCGAGCGAACGGACGAGAAGCUUGCUUCUCUGAUGUUAGCGGCGGACGGGUGAGUAACACGUGGAUAACCUACCUAUAAGACUGGGAUAACUUCGGGAAACCGGAGCCAAUACCGGAUAAUAUUUUGAACCGCAUGGUUCAAAAGUGAAAGACGGUCUUGCUGUCACUUAUAGAUGGAUCCGCGCUGCAUUAGCUAGUUGGUAAGGUAACGGCUUACCAAGGCAACGAUGCAUAGCCGACCUGAGAGGGUGAUCGGCCACACUGGAACUGAGACACGGUCCAGACUCCUACGGGAGGCAGCAGUAGGGAAUCUUCCGCAAUGGGCGAAAGCCUGACGGAGCAACGCCGCGUGAGUGAUGAAGGUCUUCGGAUCGUAAAACUCUGUUAUUAGGGAAGAACAUAUGUGUAAGUAACUGUGCACAUCUUGACGGUACCUAAUCAGAAAGCCACGGCUAACUACGUGCCAGCAGCCGCGGUAAUACGUAGGUGGCAAGCGUUAUCCGGAAUUAUUGGGCGUAAAGCGCGCGUAGGCGGUUUUUUAAGUCUGAUGUGAAAGCCCACGGCUCAACCGUGGAGGGUCAUUGGAAACUGGAAAACUUGAGUGCAGAAGAGGAAAGUGGAAUUCCAUGUGUAGCGGUGAAAUGCGCAGAGAUAUGGAGGAACACCAGUGGCGAAGGCGACUUUCUGGUCUGUAACUGACGCUGAUGUGCGAAAGCGUGGGGAUCAAACAGGAUUAGAUACCCUGGUAGUCCACGCCGUAAACGAUGAGUGCUAAGUGUUAGGGGGUUUCCGCCCCUUAGUGCUGCAGCUAACGCAUUAAGCACUCCGCCUGGGGAGUACGACCGCAAGGUUGAAACUCAAAGGAAUUGACGGGGACCCGCACAAGCGGUGGAGCAUGUGGUUUAAUUCGAAGCAACGCGAAGAACCUUACCAAAUCUUGACAUCCUUUGACAACUCUAGAGAUAGAGCCUUCCCCUUCGGGGGACAAAGUGACAGGUGGUGCAUGGUUGUCGUCAGCUCGUGUCGUGAGAUGUUGGGUUAAGUCCCGCAACGAGCGCAACCCUUAAGCUUAGUUGCCAUCAUUAAGUUGGGCACUCUAAGUUGACUGCCGGUGACAAACCGGAGGAAGGUGGGGAUGACGUCAAAUCAUCAUGCCCCUUAUGAUUUGGGCUACACACGUGCUACAAUGGACAAUACAAAGGGCAGCGAAACCGCGAGGUCAAGCAAAUCCCAUAAAGUUGUUCUCAGUUCGGAUUGUAGUCAGCAACUCGACUACAUGAAGCUGGAAUCGCUAGUAAUCGUAGAUCAGCAUGCUACGGUGAAUACGUUCCCGGGUCU